rnacentral:rRNA from 1 species
GGAGGAAAAGAAACCAACCGGGAUUGCCUUAGUAACGGCGAGUGAAGCGGCAAAAGCUCAAAUUUGAAAUCUGGCACCUUCGGUGUCCGAGUUGUAAUUUGAAGAAGUAACUUUGGGGCUGGUCCUUGUCUAUGUUCCUUGGAACAGGACGUCAUAGAGGGUGAGAAUCCCGUGUGGCGAGGAUCCCAGUUCUUUGUAAAGUGCUUUCGACGAGUCGAGUUGUUUGGGAAUGCAGCUCUAAGUGGGUGGUAAAUUCCAUCUAAAGCUAAAUAUUGGCGAGAGACCGAUAGCGAACAAGUACAGUGAUGGAAAGAUGAAAAGAACUUUGAAAAGAGAGUGAAAAAGUACGUGAAAUUGUUGAAAGGGAAGGGCAUUUGAUCAGACAUGGUGUUUUGCGACCCUCGCUCCUUGUGGGUGGGGAUCUCGCAGCUCACUGGGCCAACAUCGGUUUUGGCGGCAGGAUAAAACUUUGGGAAUGUAACUUGUCUUCGGAGAAGUAUUAUAGCCCAAGGCAAUACUGCCAGCCGGGACCGAGGACUGCGACUUUUGUCAAGGAUGUUGGCAUAAUGGUUAUAUGCCGCCCGU